AAUGAACGCUGGCGGCAGGCCUAACACAUGCAAGUCGAACGAGGUAGCAAUACCUAGUGGCGGACGGGUGAGUAACACGUGGGAACGUACCCUUUGCUACGGAAUAGCCCUGGGAAACUGGGAGUAAUACCGUAUGAGCCCGAGAGGGGAAAGAUUUAUCGGCAAAGGAUCGGCCCGCGUUGGAUUAGGUAGUUGGUGGGGUAAUGGCCUACCAAGCCGACGAUCCAUAGCUGGUUUGAGAGGAUGAUCAGCCACACUGGGACUGAGACACGGCCCAGACUCCUACGGGAGGCAGCAGUGGGAAUCUUAGACAAUGGGGAAACCCUGAUCUAGCCAUGCCGCGUGAUCGAUGAAGGCCUUAGGGUUGUAAAGAUCUUUCAGGUGGGAAGAUAAUGACUGUACCACCAGAAGAAGCCCCCGGCUAACUCCGUGCCAGCAACCGCGGUAAU
rnacentral:rRNA from 1 species